CUUACUUGGUCAACGUCUUUUUCUACUUCUUGUCAACGUUUUCUUACUUUGUCAACGUUUUUUCUACUUUGUGUCAACGUUUUAUUCCUUUUCGUCAAUUUGUUUGCUAUUUUUCGUCAACUUUCUGCUGCUUUGUGUCAACACUUUUUUUUUUUUUUUGUCAACUAGUAAUGUUUUGUUUUGUUUUGUUUGUCUUUUCUAUUAUUUUUGUUUUCUGUCGUCAUUUAAAACUUACAAAAAAAUGCCGUAGAUUUUAAUGAUAUUCGGAGAGACAUAGUAACAUAACAUAACAUCACAUCGUAAAUACAUAGGAACAUUACAUAACAUAACAUCACAUGACUCCAAUAAGUAAUACGUAUGUCAUGUUUUAUUCCUUUAUGUAGUUUAAAAGCUACAACGAAAUACCUUAGACUUUAAUCCUUAUCUAAAUACGUCAGGAACUUAAUUGCGUAUUCCUCUCUCCUCCACCUGUUCCUCUCCUUAACUGUUCGAGCUAAUUCCAUACUUUUUGUCUUUCUCCUAUUCUUUUUUUUAACUAGAAAGAGGCAGCUCGAGGGUAAAAUAUAAAAAGGUUCAUGUUAAAAUCUGUUAAAAGUUGUUUGUGUUUCUUGAGACUUGCCAGAAAGCAGUAAAUGAUAAUAGGGAAAUUUAUAAGGAAAAGUUGCUGGAAAGUAUAAAAAAAAAGUUAAAAAGAUAUGCAAGUUUUGAAUAUGGGCAAAAUAUAAAAAGGUUCAUGUUAAAAUCUGUUAAAAGUUGUUUGUGUUUCUUGAGACUUGCCAGAAAGCAGUAAAAGAUAAAAGGGCAAUGUACAAGGAAAAGUUGCUGGAAAGUAUAAAAAAUAAAAGAAAUGCUAGUUUUGAAUACUGUCAAGAUUUGUAGGAAUGAUUGGCAAAGGAAAGUUGUCGAUGGGAAGAUUAUGUAUAACAGGAAAAGAAAAUAAUGAGCAAAAGUUGUGAAUGAGAUAAAGGAAAAAGAGUAAGUGAUAGAAGGGGAGACAAAUAGAAAAUAAAGAAAAAUAAAGGAAAGGAAAGGAAAGAAUAAUAAAUAGAAAAAGGGGUAAGAAAAUUUGUGUUUGUAUAAUAUGAAAAUAAACUGAUGAUUUAAAAGUUGUGAAGGAAUAAAAAAAUGAAGUUGGAAAGAAAAUGAAAAUACUCUAAAAAUGGAAAUGAAAGAAAAAAAAGAAUGAAACUAAACGACGAAAACUGGACACAAACACGAAGAAAAAAUUAAUAACAGAAAAAGCAAUAAAAG